AUAAACGCUAGCAGUAGACUUGACGCAUGCUAGUUUAAUGAAAUAAAUAUUUUAUGGCGUACAGGUGAGUAUUAGAGUAAAUUUCUACCAUUAAGUUUAAGAUAAAAACUUAAAUAAGUAAAAAAAAUUAAAGAUUAAAAUUAAUUACUUAAUGAUGAGACUAUUCAAGAUUAGAUUGUUGGUGAAGGAAAGGUUUACCAAAUCAAAGAUCUUUAGCCGCUUUGAAAGAAGAUACGGUCACACUGGAACUGAAAAAGGUCCAGUCUUGGGGUUUAAGACAGCAGUGGGGAAUCUUGGACAAUGCGCGAAAGCACGAUCCAGCUAUAUUGCGUGAAUGAAGGCAGUAUAAAUUGUAAACUUCUAACUCGAGAUUAAGGUAAAAUUGAAUGAGAAUCUCGUAAGGGAGCCCUGGCCAAUCUCGU
rnacentral:rRNA from 1 species